GAUAAAAAGAAAAAAAACAAGCCUAUCGAAGGUUAUCUCAGGUCCGAAAGGUUGAUAUUCUGAAUUGAUAAAAAUAAAUAUUGUGACUUCUCGGCCAAUCAAGUGGUUUCUAAACCACUUUUGGAGGUUGACUAUUUUGACAGAGAUAGAUAGAAUAAAAGAAGAAACAACAAAAAACAUAAAGAAUUCAUAACUUCGACAUAUAAAAAGCCAAGAAACCAUCUUCGUAAAUUAUAUGGGUCUUCACAUCGAAAGUCCUUCAGCUCGAUCGAGCGAGAAAUCGGGAUCGAAGAACCGCCGACUUCACGGCGUCGUCUGAUCGGCCACGACCGAAAGGGAAUUUCCGUUCGCAGCCGGAACGCUACCGCUUCAUUUUCAAUUCGCGAUAAGCGAUAUGCGCUCGAAUUCAGACAAGUUCGUGCAGGCAAUCGGCAGGACGGUUUAUCGUGAAAAGUGAUAAGAUAGAUACAGGGAUCGGUCGGCGUUAUAACGCCAUAAAUCGCGUCGUGAUACGAAACGAUGUGUUUCUCGAGUUACUUACCACAAAAA